rnacentral:rRNA from 1 species
UACGGGGGGGGCAAGCGUUGUUCGGAAUUACUGGGCGUAAAGGGCUCGUAGGCGGCGUGCUAAGUCAGACGUGAAAGCCCUCGGCUUAACCGGGGAACGGCGUCUGAGACUGGCAGGCUUGAAUCCGGGAGAGGGAUGCGGAAUUCCAGGUGUAGCGGUGAAAUGCGUAGAUAUCUGGAGGAACACCGGUGGCGAAGGCGGCAUCCUGGACCGGUAUUGACGCUGAGGAGCGAAAGCCAGGGGAGCAAACGGG